GGUUAAGUUACAAAGGGCGCAUGGUGAAUGCCUUGGUAUCAGGAGCCGAAGAAGGACGUGAUAAGCUGCGAUAAGCUGCGUGUAGCCGCAAAUAGGCCGUGAAACGCAGAUUUCCGAAUGGGGAAACCCACACAUCUGAACGAUGUGUAUCCUUAGAUGAAUACAUAGUCUAAGGAAGGUAACCCGGGGAACUGAAACAUCUAAGUACCCGGAGGAAGAGAAAGAAAAAUCGAUUCCCUAAGUAGCGGCGAGCGAAAAGGGAAGAGCCCAAACCAGAAUCUUUGAUUCUGGGGUUGCGGACAGAACACAAAAGUUUCGAAUUCUUAGUCGAAGAGUUUUGGAAAACUCCACCACAGAAGGUAAUAGUCCUGUAGAUGAAAAGAUGAAGAAACGAGUUCUGAUCCAGAGUACCACGAGACACGUGAAACCUUGUGGGAAGCUGGGAGGACCACCUCCCAAGGCUAAAUACUACCUGAUAACCGAUAGUGAAGCAGUACCGUGAGGGAAAGGUGAAAAGAACCCCGGGAGGGGAGUGAAAUAGAACCUGAAACCGUGUGCCUACAAUCGGUCGGAGCGCUUUAUAUGCGUGACGGCGUGCUUUUUGUAUAACGAGCCAACGAGUUACGGUGUGUAGCAAGGUUAAGCACUUAAGGUGUGGAGCCGCAGGGAAACCGAGUCUGAAUAGGGCGUUUAGUUGCAUGCUGUAGACCCGAAACCAGGUGACCUAUCCAUGGCCAGGUUGAAGCGAGAGUAAAAUCUCGUGGAGGACCGAACCACGUUGACGUUGAAAAGUCAUGGGAUGAGCUGUGGAUAGCGGAGAAAUUCCAAUCGAACCUGGAGAUAGCUGGUUCUCCUCGAAAUAGCUUUAGGGCUAGCGUCUGGUAACUGAGUAAUGGAGGUAGAGCACUGAAUGGGCUAGGGGGCGUCAAAGCUUACUGAACUCUAUCAAACUCCGAAUGCCAUAUACUUUUAUCCAGGCAGUCAGAUUAUGAAUGAUAAGAUACAUUUUCGAAAGGGAAAGAGCCCAGACCAUCAGCUAAGGUCCCAAAGUGUAAGUUAAGUGGUAAAGGAUGUGGGAUUUCCAAGACAACUAGGAUGUUGGCUUAGAAGCAGCCAUUCAUUUAAAGAGUGCGUAAUAGCUCACUAGUCAAGAGAUCCUGCGCCGAAAAUGUCCGGGGCUAAAACUUACCACCGAAGCUAUGGACUCGAAAGAGUGGUAGAGGAGCUUCCUGUAUGGGCUGAAGUCGUACCGUAAGGAGCGGUGGACCGUACAGGAGUGAGAAUGUUGGCAUAAGUAGCGAGAUGUAGGUGAGAAUCCUACAGGCCGAAUACCUAAGGUUUCCUGGGGAAGGCUCGUCCUCCCAGGGUUAGUCGGGACCUAAGCCGAGGCCGAAAGGCGUAGGCGAUGGACAACAGGUUGAUAUUCCUGUACCACCAAACUCCGUUUGACGACGGGGUGACGCAGGAGGAUAGGAUGAGCGCACGACUGAAAGAGUGCGUCUAAGCGUUUAGGCUGAUCAGAUAGGCAAAUCCGUCUGAUCUUAAGGCUGAGGCGUGAUGGGGAGCCGUUUACGGCGAAGCAUCUGAUUCCACGCUGCCAAGAAAAGCCUCUAAGGAGGAGUUUGGUGCCCGUACCGCAAACCGACACAGGUAGGUGAGGAGAGAAUCCUAAGGCCGGCGGAAGAAUUACUGUUAAGGAACUCGGCAAAUUGACCCCGUAACUUCGGGAGAAGGGGUGCCUACGAGAGUAGGCCGCAGUGAAUAGGCCCAAACAACUGUUUACCAAAAACACAGGUCUCUGCUAAAUCGUAAGAUGAUGUAUAGGGGCUGACGCCUGCCCGGUGCUGGAAGGUUAAGGGGAUCACUUAGCGUAAGCGAAGGUGUGAACUUAAGCCCCAGUAAACGGCGGCCGUAACUAUAACGGUCCUAAGGUAGCGAAAUUCCUUGUCGGGUAAGUUCCGACCCGCACGAAUGGCGUAAUGAUUUGGGCACUGUCUCAACAGUAAAUCCGGUGAAAUUGUAGUACCAGUGAAGAUGCUGGUUACCCGCGGUUGGACGGAAAGACCCCGUAGAGCUUUACUGUAGCUUAGCAUUGAAUUUCGGUAUUGUCUGUACAGGAUAGGUGGGAGACUAGGAAACUGGGGCGUUAGCUUCAGUGGAGUCGUCCUUGGGAUACCACCCUGGCAGUACUGGAAUUCUAACGAGUGGCCAUGAAUCUGGUCAUCGGACAUUGCUAGGUGGGCAGUUUGACUGGGGCGGUCGCCUCCUAAAAAGUAACGGAGGCGCUCAAAGGUUCCCUCAGCGCGGUCGGAAAUCGCGCGAAGAGUGCAAAGGCAGAAGGGAGCCUGACUGCGACACCUACAAGUGGAGCAGGGACGAAAGUCGGACUUAGUGAUCCGGUGGUACCUCGUGGGAGGGCCAUCGCUCAACGGAUAAAAGCUACCUCGGGGAUAACAGGCUUAUCUCCCCCAAGAGUCCACAUCGACGGGGAGGUUUGGCACCUCGAUGUCGGCUCGUCGCAUCCUGGGGCUGUAGCUGGUCCCAAGGGUUGGGCUGUUCGCCCAUUAAAGCGGCACGCGAGCUGGGUUCAGAACGUCGUGAGACAGUUCGGUCCCUAUCCGCCGCGGGCGUAGGAAAUUUGAGAGGAGCUGUCCUUAGUACGAGAGGACCGGGAUGGACUGACCUCUGGUGUACCAGUUGUCGCGUCAGCGGCACCGCUGGGUAGCUAUGUCGGGAAGGGAUAAACGCUGAAGGCAUCUAAGCGUGAAGCCCACCUCAAGAUUAGAUUUCCCUGCCUAGUGCAAUAAGAUCCCUUGAAGAACACAAGGUUGAUAGGCUGGAGGUGUAAGUGUGGUAACACAUGUAGCUGACCAGUACUAAUAGAUCGAAGACUUAAUCUU
rnacentral:rRNA from 1 species